UACAGAGGUCUCAAGCGUUUGUUCGGAUUCAUUGGGCGUAAAGGGUGCGUAGGUGGCGCCGUAAGUCAGGUGUGAAAUCCCCGGGGCUCAACCCCCGGAACUGCACUUGAUUACUGCGGUGCUCGAGUACUGGAGAGGAGAUUGGAAUUUACGGUGUAGCAGUGAAAUGCGUAGAUAUUCGUAAGGAAGACCAGUGGCGAAGGCGAAUCUCUGGACAGUUACUGACACUGAGGCACGAAAGGCCAGGGGAGGCAAACGGG
rnacentral:rRNA from 1 species